rnacentral:rRNA from 1 species
ACAGAGAGUGCAAACGUUGUUCGGAAUUACUGGGCUUAAAGCGCACGUAGGCGGCGCCGCAAGUGCGAGGUGAAAUCCCACGGCUUACCCGUGGAACUGCCUUGCAGACUGUGGUGCUCGAGGAUGGUAGGGGAGAGCGGAACUCCUGGUGGAGCGGUGAAAUGCGUAGAUAUCAGGAGGAACACCGGUGGCGAAGGCGGCUCUCUGGUCCAUUACUGACGCUGAGGUGCGAAAGCUAGGGGAGCAAACGGGAUUAGAUACCCCGGUAGUCCUAGCUGUAAACGAUGGGCACUAGCUUGGGGUCUCCCUGUGUGAUCCCAGGUGAAGUAAAAAUGAUAAGUGCCCCGCCUGGGGAGUAUGGUCGCAAGGCUG